ensembl:snoRNA
AUCCUUUUGUGGUUCAUAAGCAUGAUGACUGGGUUUUCACGCUGUGUGAGGUGUGCCUCCCUCAAACCUUGUUAUGACAUUGGUAUAUUACCUGUCUGACA